UCAAAGAGCCAUUUGGACCAGUUUUGAACAGAAAAGAAAACACAGGGAGCCACAAAACCCUUUUGACAACUAAAUGAAGAUAAGACUGCAUAUCGUUUUUUAUCUUAAUGCUUUGUCUGUGUGUGUGU